UUUAACUUUAGAAUGUUAAAAUUGAUUAUUCCUACUUUACGUGCAAGCAAAGGAGAAGGCUUUUUUAGGUUGGAAAUGGAAGGUUUCUUCUAUUUUCUUAGGUGAUACCAUCCAAUUUACAUUUUAGGGUAAGGCUUUUUAAGACUCAAGCGUGGUGUGUAUGAGUAUCUUACUAGCUUUUGAUCUGGUCGAAAUGGUGUGUGAACGUAAACAUUAUUUACAUAUUUUCUCAUCUCUUUCUUGUUAAAUGCUGAUAUGUUCAAAUUCAAACCCAAAUUAUUUUAAAUAAACUGAAAUUUUAGCAUUCUUUUCCUUGGUUUUGAGGGAAGAAAACUCAAAUAGGUAUAAUCUAUUUUGCGUGGACAGAGGUUCAAGUUGCGUCUCCAGUUCCUUCAGCCAUAAAAAAACACGCCAAUGGAGCAAGCCCACGUCAUCAUCUCCAUGUCUUCCAUGCAACAACAGUUACUUGGAAACACUGAGAUUGAGAUGCAAAAGGCAGUGUAAAAUUGUGCAAGUAAGCGAAAUGGGAAGGGAAGCAAUCAUGGAAAAGGUUGAUCUUGAUCCCUAAGGCAGUAACUUUUCAUUGAGAUUCUUUUCCACACUAGUAGGUUCUUACUAUUGGAAACUUUUCCACAGACUAUAAUUAAAAUUGCA